rnacentral:rRNA from 1 species
AGGCCGACAAUUCCCCCCCAAGGUGGUAAAUGGAAUUUUUCUGUAACGGUAGAAUGUGUGGAUAGAAAAUAGAACCCCAAAGGCAAAAGCAAUUUACCUCGGGGAAGGGGGGUGAAAAUCUGAUAUUCCCGAUCGGGACCUAUCACUCCACCCCCCCGAGCACAGGCUGAAACACGAGGGUGUGGGUAACAAACAGGAUUAGAGACCCUGGUAGUCCACACUGUAAACGAUGAAGAAAAUGUUAAUGCAACCCCGAAAGGUAGUAAUCUUCCGCCUGAGUAGUACGAUCGCAAGAUUAAAAUUCAAAAAAUUUGGCUGUUCACUGUUUCGAUUAGAGGAGCGUGUAGUUUAAUUCGAUAAACCGCGAGAUACCUUACCCAAACUUGAAUCACCCAUCCGAGAUUGAAUGGUCUCGGGAGGGUAGACCGGUAUUGCAUGGCCGUCGUCAGUUCGUGUAUGAAACCUUUAACGGACCUAACCCGGGGGGUUAGCCGCGGAUGAAGUCAGGUCUUAUGAUCCCUAUGUUUGGGGAUAAUAUGCGCUACAUUUUCUUAUACAAUGGGAAACCUGAAAGGUGAAACCCCAAAGUAGGAGUUCGGUAGGUCAUUGUAAGAUGACCGAAAGUUGAAUUUAAUAGUAAUCGGAAAGUAGAGC